AGCUUUGUGCAGUGGCAGUAUCAUAGCCAAUGAGGUUUAUCUGAGGUGCGAUUAUUGCUAAUUGAAAACUCCACAAUCCUACAAGUAUCCUGCAUGUUUUGGGGGAGGAGAUCAGAUUUCUAAAAUAUUUUCUUAUUU
ensembl:snRNA U4 U4 spliceosomal RNA